CAUACGGGUUGAAGCAUGACCGUAAGGACAUGUGGACAGUAUGGGAGUGAGAAUGUUGGCAUGAGUAGCGAGAUGUGGGUGAGAAUCCCACAGGCCGUAAACCCAAGGUUUCCAGGGGAAGGUUCGUCCGCCCUGGGUUAGUCGGGACCUAAGCUGAGGCCGAAAGGCGUAGGUGAUGGACAACAGGUUGAUAUUCCUGUACUACCGAUAACCGUUUGAGAGAAGGGAUGACACAGUAGGAUAAGCUAAGCACACUGUUGGUUAUGUGUGCCCAAG
rnacentral:rRNA from 1 species